AUCUGAAGCUAUGUUUGCUAUAGUGUAGCAUGUGAAAAUGUGUACACAUGUACUGGUAUCGACAGGAGAGUAGAUAGACUCAUCAAGAAAAGGAAUUGAAGGGCACAAUGAGACAAGAGGAUGAAGGAGAAACUAUUCAGUACUCACUGGGAUGGAAAUAAAGAGCUCUGCAGUGAGAAUCUCAAAAGCUUUGUGACCUAACAAUGAGACCUGCGGAGAAGGCAGGGCCCCUGACUUGGGAGACAAACUCAGUAACAGAAACUUGGCAGAGUUUUGACUUCUUUCGACUUGGGACAAAGGCAGAAGAAGUAGUAAAAAAUAAUUGAAGAGUGGUUUAUUAUGUCUGUGUUGCAAAGGGGCAGGAAACCACAACUUUGAAGACGUGGAGGAAAUGGUUAAGGCAACACGACAAACAUACCCCUCACCCCUCAUCAAGGAACGCCUCUUUGUAAAUGUAACAGACAGAGACUACGACAGAAAACCAUACAGGGUCAAAAUGCAGAAACUAAGUAAUGGUGUGGUGUCAGACCCCAACUGCUACAUCUGUAACACCCCUGUGCAGCUAAGCCACAAAGUACAUCCCAGAAGGGAAAUGUCAUGGUAUUUCAAGUAUCAGAAGAACUGGAAGCUCCGGUAAGAAGUCUCCUAGAAAUGAUAGGGAAGUCUCAAAAACAUGGCUGCCUAAACAAUACCUGGACUGGAUUACACCAAUAGACACGCUAACACGGAAGAGGAGAUCCCAAAGAGUCCCAAAUCCGAAACAAGUAACUAUAGACAGUUAGGGAAUUCUGAGAGUGGAAGAAACAACCUUUCCCAUGGAGGAGCGCCCCCCAACUGGUUAUCUAUCAGCAAGUGGUCAGCCCUGAAACCAUAUGCAUACAGCAUGAGGAGGAAAUGAAGUGGAUGGGGGAAGGAGGUCUCUGAAAUCAACACACUGCUGCUCAUGCACCUGAACGUAAUGGAGGGACAGAGGAGCUUCUGAGUGGAUCCAAGAGAUUCAAAUCCAAUUUGGCUGGACCUUCAACCAGUGAAAAUGGAAACUGAUAUACUAUGUGGUCCUUCUUGGUGACCAAAGGAUGCCACUGCUCUUCUGCUGCAAGAGAAAGGAAGACGAAGAAAGAAAACACGUGACUCACUGACUUGCUUCAAGCUGCUAUCUGCUAUUUCCCUGCCUGGUACAGAUGUCCAGGGUGUCUGUGAGCUAACCUUAUCCACUGGUUUAGAUGCCCAGCGUGUCUGUGAGCUAACCUUA
rnacentral:lncRNA from 1 species